AUGGAUUGAUUAGAGGGCAAAGAC
rnacentral:piRNA from 1 species